UACGAAGGGGGCUAGCGUUGUUCGGAAUCACUGGGCGUAAAGCGCACGUAGGCGGAUCUUUUAAGUCAGAGGUGAAAUCCCAAGGCUCAACCUUGGAACUGCCUUUGAUACUGGGGGAUCUUGAGUCCGGGAGAGGUGAGUGGAACUGCGAGUGUAGAGGUGAAAUUCGUAGAUAUUCGCAAGAACACCAGUGGCGAGGCGGC
rnacentral:rRNA from 1 species